rnacentral:tRNA from 1 species
GGGGGGAGAGGUCAGUGGUAGAAUACACGUGCUUAGCAUGCACGAGGUCCUGGGUUCAAUCCCCAGUACCUCCA